UCAACGUCUGUGGUGGAGAAUCUGUACCUUCCUUCCAGACACUCCCCCAGGGGGUUCCUGCUGCAAAAUUGAUGAAAUUGUACAGAGAUAAGACACUUCUAAAUACUCAAUAGAAACUGUUCCUGCAGAGGCAGAAAAGGUCACGGAACACAGUCUUUUGUAUGUAAGAUACUUAGGAGGUGUUUUUAAUGCAGUUUAAAGAAGCCAGUUGCAAUGGAUCCUGCAUGUGCUAGAGUGGUCACGUUAAGACCAUGGUCCAGCUGGAUUAUAGGAGCCAAGCAGAGCAGAGAUUCAGGGGAUCUUCUUUGUAGAAGACGCUCCCACAGACUAUCUGGUUUAACAGAUUUGAUCCCCUCUUCCCUGUGAGCAAUAAUCUAUGCCAAGAUCUCAAAAAUAAAUAUAAUAAAAGUUCUGCCUAUUCAUGUCUAUGUAGCAAGUUUCAGGUAUACUACCGUAAUCUGAGCAAUAGUCUGGGCAGAUUCUUGAAAGAAUUUGAGGGCAUCUAGGAAUGGAUUUUUUAAUUUCAGGAAGAUACGGAAUUGGAAACAGAGGUGACUUGAUUUUCCAAAAUGAGACCUGUGAAGCAUUAAGCACUUUUCAAAAUUCACACAACCACGUGAGAGCUGAUUGAUCUGUGAAAACCUGGUGCUAACUGCUGCGCUCCCCCCACUGUAGGGAAAACAUGCCUCCGGGUUGAGUAGCUGGUGACAAUGUGACUAUACAAACCAGUUAAGAGUUCAUAUUGAUUUUCUUCGUUCCACUUUGAAACUCCCCGGAAAUGACCUCUUCUGUCCUGCAAGGACCUCUAUUUGUAAAUGGUGGCUCAAUUUCACACCGUUCUAGGGUGCUUCUUCGCCCUCAGGUUCCUGAGGUGAAGAUGUUGGGAUUUGUGUAAAAUAACAGAGAUGGAGACCGUCACAGAGGACUAAUGCAUUAGAAGCAACAUGUAUUUCCGUGAAUCCUUUUUUGCCCGCCUCAACAGGGGAGUGGAAACCUGCAUAUCUCAACACAGUCCGAAAAUCCUAUGGCGCAAGUCUUCACCACAUCUGAAGUGUCAUGUCUUCAAAUUCAUAGAAUGGUUGAGGCUGGAUGGAACCUCUGAAGGUUGUCUGGUCCACCACACCCUGCUCAAGGAGGGCCACCUCGAACCACUUGCCCAGGACUGUGUCCCGAGGGCUUUUGAAUACCUGCAAUUCACUGUGUUUGGAGAAGGGAUUGGAAAACAGUGAGGAGUGAAAGGGAUCUAUUCAAGGGUCCCUUAGGAAAUUUGCACAUCACACUUUCUGUAACUACGAGUGGAAAACAAACUCUAGAGGAGUGCCUGCUGCAAACUACUGAACUGUCUACAAGGACAUAAUGUUUUCUUUGAAGGCUAUUAAAAUUCAGUGGAUGCCUUUACCUCAGGCCACGUAAAUGGAUCAACCAAAAGUCUGCAAGUCUGGGCUGUGAGGACUACUUUGGAAAGUUCACGACUGCAGCUACUAUUUUGUGGAGCAACAGUGACAACCAGCGGCCAGUCACCUAAAACUGGCCAAAUUGUUCAUUGUGGAUGUCCUUCAGAUUACCAGCCACCCACAUCCAUUCUUCAAAGACAAUCAAUUUCAACAGUUUGUUUGUAAACAUGGAAAAGUAAAAAUAACACAGAUCCUUGAGACAGGGAAAAAGACACAUUCUAGGAAAGAGGAAAGGAGGUAAGUUUAUUCCAUUUUCUCUGAAACAUUACCUGCUGGUGGGAGAAAAGGUGUUCAAAUCAGGAAAAAGCUUGACAUAAAUGCAUUAUUUCCCUUUGUUUUUCAAAACCUUGCAAAGCUGUGUCCUAGUGUUUCUUCUCUGUCUUUGACUGUCUUUUAUACUCACAAAUGCGUUCUUAAUCACAGUCUAUGUUCUCCUACUUUUGAAAGCUUAUUUACUGAAAAAAAAAGAAGAUUAAAUCGUUGUUUUAGCUAUCUUUACAGAUUGCACAUUACAAAAAAAAAAACCAACAAAACAAAAACAGAGUGAUGCAAAAGCUUGCUGGUGUUGUUUGAGCAUUACUGUAAGCAAUUCUUUUAUUUUUUCUCAAAUGAAAUUGUCUUUCAAUAUAGACUGUCUGUAAAAAUCAUCUCUUGAAUAUCUGAAUAAUUACUAAUUUUACCAGCUGAAUUGCAGUGUAUGCUGUGCUGGAGAAUAGCUCUGAGCCUGAGGGAAGUGCAGAACAAACACAGGUAAAGCUGAACAAUUCAGAAUAGAUGGAAUUGUAUGUAUGGACUUACUUCUUGAGAGAAUUUCCCACUGCUAUCACAGCUUUUCACUUAAAAUGCCUGAAUACGCAGAAUUAAUUUGUAAGGUCACUAAGAAGGAUUGUCUCCUUUGUAGGAACCUUUCAGCAAUUUAGUGCAACAACAGGGUAAUACUUACAAACUGUUUAGGUUAUGAGAAAGAUGAACAACAGACAACACAGUCAGUCCUCAGAGUGAUGAUUUUUUUUUUUUGUGCUGGAAAAAAACAAUAUUAAAUACAAAGUGCUGGGAUGGGAAUGUGGAAAGAGAACAAUCUCAACGCUAGGAGCUUUUUGAGGAUGGACAGGGACUAGCUGGGAUGUCUAAACAAGAAAAUAUACCAUGUCAUGACUAUGGUAACUUGAAUAAAGUUAAGUAAAAGUUAAAUAGGAGUAUUUCAUGUGAAAGAUAUUUUUUUUUUUUUCAGCCAAUUCCAAAAUGUACAUUAUGUAGCAGAUUUUAUAGAUCUGCUACAAGACUACAUACGUUUGAUCACUGCUGCCUGGUCAGGGCUUUAUAUGAUUCAGAAAUUCUGAGGGACAGUCCAAUAAUUCAGAAUUUCAUUGGAUUGCAAUCCGGAUUGAACAGUGGAAUAAAAAUUCAUAAUUAAAAAAAAACAAAAAAAAACCAACACAAAGAAAGAAAAAAGAAUCAGUUAUGAAAUCUCAUGGGUUUGCAUUAGUUUGUUGAGUCUGAAAAGAAGUUUCCAUAAUAUUUCCUUUUCUCAGGGAAGAUGAAUAAUGGGUACUUCAUUAUUUUCUGUUGGUCUGGUCUUGUUACGUCUAAAACCACCCUAAAAUUUUUUGUCUACCAUUGAACCUAUGUAGCAUUGGAGUUAUAACUUAGUUUAUUCAAGAAAAUUGCAUCGCAGUUAUGAGUCAAAAAAUGAUGUAUGAUAGGAGGAAAAUAUAUUUCAAUGUUUCGAUGCGUCAUUUAAAAAUGCUUUUCAUGUUGGUACUGAUCAGAGCCUUAAUGCACUCGAAAUGCUUUCAUUAUUCUUAGUAUCACAUGUAUCAAUGAAAUCUGGAGGCAGCUGGGAGUCAUACAUACUUCCCCUCAAGGCCAGAUUUCAACAGACCUAAAUUUGCAAAAUCUUAGACGCUAAAAAUGCAUAACUGGGAGGUGAUAAAUUCUAUCUCGGAUUUCUACUAGCUUUGAAAUAUAUUUGUGUUCAUGGACUAGUGAGUCAAUGUUAUUAAUUCUAAAAACCAAACAAAAGAAGACAAAAGAAAAAAGAAGAAAACAAGUAGGAAACAAGAUCCCAAGAUACUUUUUUUUAACAGUUGGGUUGUGGGUUUUUUCUACAUUCUGGUGGUGGUGGUUGUUAUUAUUAUUAUUCUCUUGGUUUCCUGGAUCUGGAAAUAUUUAUAUGCAUUACUUAUUUUGACUUCCUGCCAUAUUUAUGAAGGCAAGUUAGAGAGUCACUUAUCUACAUAAUAUUAGUCUGAUUGAACAGCAAUUAUGGCACCAGUCUUUUCCAUUAUUCUGAGUGCUACCAGCCUCAAUGCUUCUUCAGGGAAUCUGCCUUUCUAUUGAUUCACCAGAUUUGCCUUUUUUGCUUCUCCAACCAGACACUGUCAGUAGUGAGAAGGAAAGGAGAAUAAAGCAAAAGGGAUGGAAAGUAAUGAAAAGACCUGCUGAAUACUUUCUUCUCCCUCUUCUCUCCUCAGCUCUGUUCAAAUAAUUUCAUUUGUUUCCUGAGCCUCUUCUGACAGCAGUUUUUUUCCUGAAGUGGUGGGAAAGCAAAGACAACAGCCUAUCUGAGAAGAUUUGCCUCAAGGAAGGACUGAAAUUCCCUAGAGGGCUAAAUGCUGUGUAUCAUUGUACAAGUGGCUUCUCCUUGCAAGAGAAUCUCAAGAGACAGUUUGCAACGACCGGUGGAAGGUGGCUGAUCCAGAUGGGGCAAGAAGCUGGGGCAAGAGGUAGUUUUCUUAAAGGUGGUUUUUACUUAACACGUAAUGUUCCUCAGAAUCAGAGAGCAUAACUGAAAUGCAAG